GUCCGCAACGAGCGCAACCCUUGCCAAUAAUUGCCAUCAUUUAGUUGGGCACUUUAUUGGGACUGCCGGUGACAAACCGGAGGAAGGUGGGGAUGACGUCAAGUCCUCAUGGCCCUUAUGGCCAGGGCUUCACACGUAAUACAAUGGUCGGUACAGAGGGUAGCCAAGCCGCGAGGUGGAGCCAAUCCCAGAAAGCCGAUCGUAGUCCGGAUUGUUCUCUGCAACUCGAGAGCAUGAAGUCGGAAUCGCUAGUAAUCGCGGAUCAGAAUGUCUCGGUGAAUACGUUCCCGGGCCUUGUACACACCGCCCGUCACACCAU
rnacentral:rRNA from 1 species